UACGAAGGGGGCUAGCGUUGCUCGGAAUCACUGGGCGUAAAGCGCACGUAGGCGGAUCGCUAAGUCAGGGGUGAAAUCCUGGAGCUCAACUCCAGAACUGCCUUUGAUACUGGCGAUCUCGAGUCCGGGAGAGGUGAGUGGAACUGCGAGUGUAGAGGUGAAAUUCGUAGAUAUUCGCAAGAACACCAGUGGCGAAGGCGGCUCACUGGCCCGGUACUGACGCUGAGGUGCGAAAGCGUGGGGAGCAAACAGG
rnacentral:rRNA from 1 species